rnacentral:lncRNA from 1 species
CCUAUUGUGUUUAUAAAUGAACGCCUCCAAAAUAUAUGAUCAAAAUCCUAAAUUCAUUAAGGACACACUACUAAGGCCUGGGCAUCAAAGAGUUUUUCUAGAUAAAGUUAAUGGUGUUGAUUCUUAUUAGGGAGAAGAGAGCUUCGAAAGAAAGAAUUUCUGUACAUAGCUAAGCCUCUUUAUUUCUUGUGUGAAUAUUUACAUAUCCCAAGCUUGAUACAUAUAGGAGCUUUGUGAUAAUUAUCUUCUAACAAACUAACUAAUAAACUGUGUAACAGAAAAAUAACUAUCUAACAGUCUUAUUGUUAAUACUCCCCCUCAAGUUGGACGAUGAAUGUCUAUGAUGCCCAACUUGGAUAACAACCUAGUUAAGGUAGACGAUGGUAGUGCUUUGGUAAACAUAUCAGCUAGUUGUAGGCUAGACUUGAUACAUAGAACUUUUAAGAAGCCUUCAACUAUCUUGUCUCGGACAAAAUGACAAUCAAUCUCUAUGUGUUUUGUCCUUUCAUGGAAUGGCGGAUUAGAAGCUAUUGCAAUUGCUGCUUGAUUGUCACAAAACACAGUAGCUAGCAUUAAAGUCUUAUUGAGGUCAAUGAGGAGUUGAGAGAUCCAUACUAACUCACUGGUGACUGAUGCCAAGGCCCUAUAUUCAGCUUCUGCAGAGGACCGGGAGACCAUUGCCUGUUUUUUAGAUUUCCAAGAGAAGAUAGAAUCUCCUAGGAAAAUGCAAAAUCCUGUGACUGAUCUUCUAGUAUCAAGGCACAAUCCCCAAUUAGCAUCAACAAAAGCCUUUAGGUGGAAUGAAUUAAUGGGUUUUAUUAAAACACUCUGUCCUGGGGUACCUUUUAGGUAUUUCAGUAGAUGAUGAGCAGUAUUAGGUGAUCUUUCGUAGGUUUUUGCAAGAACUAGCUAAGACGGUGGACAGCAAAACAAAUAUCUAGUCUAGAUAUUUGUAGGUAUAUCAAUCUGCCAAUCAGUCUUCUAUAGUAGGUAGUGUCUUCCUCAGCUAGCUGCCUUCCCUCCGUGUUAGAUAGCUUCAAAUUAGGAUCCAUAGGUGCUGCAGUCGGUUUAGAAUCAAGAAAACCAGUAUCUUCUAGGAUUUGAAGGCAGUAUUUUCUUUGGGAGAGCAUGAGUCCUUGUUGAGACCGUGAUAACACUAGACCCAAGAAAUACUUUGCUUGCCCCAAGUCCUUUAGUUUAAAGUGUGUCUUUAGGCUGUCCUUGACUGAGUUGAUAAUUGAGGAAGAUGGUCCGGUUAGUAAUAUGUCAUCUACAUAUACUAACAAGGCUACAAAGUUGCUUCCAUUGCCUCGAGUGAAUGAUGAGUAGUCGAAUUUGGAUUGAAUGAAGCCAUGUGAGGAUAUUGAUGCUGCAAAUUUUAUGAACCAUUGCCUUGAUGCUUGCUUGAGGACAUAUAUGAUCUUAUUAAGUUUGCAAGCCAAUCUUUCUCCUUUUCUUGGUACUUGAGAAGUUUGGUAGCCCAAUGUUAAGGACAUAUGCACUUCUUCAAACAAGUAUCCAUUUAAGAAGGCGUUAUUUAUGUCCAUUUUGGUAAGAGACCAAUUAUAGGAUGUAGCAAGGGCUAAGAAUAUCUUGACAGUAACUAUUUUAGCUACCGGUGAGAAGGUAUCUGAAAAAUUUAUCCUUCUUGUUGAUUAUAGUUCUUUUCUACGAGUCUUGCCUUGUAUCUAUCAAUGGUGCUAUCCAGUUUACACUUCACUUUGUAUACCCAUUUAUUACCAACCGUGUGAUGAUUUUUAGGAAGAGAAACAAUGGUCCAUGUAUUCGUCCUCUUCAUAGCUUCUAUUUCUUCAACCAUAGCUUUUCUCCAAGUCUGGUGUUUUACAACUUGGUGAUAAUAGGACGGUUCAUAUAUGGAAGCAAUAUUGAACAAAUAGUUUUUAUGGUGUUGGGAGUAGGCUUUAUACGAGAGGUAUUUAGUAAGGUGAAAGGGAGUUGAUCUUUGGGAGGUGAGGUUACAAUGAAAAUCUUUUAGGUAAGAAGGUGGAUGGUAUUGUCUAGAGGAUUUUCUGGGUGCUAUGGUAAUAGGUAUUUGGACAGGGCUAUUAGUCUCUUCUGAAUCUUCAGUACAAGGAUCAUGAUCAUCAACACCGUGGUUAUCUUCAAGGGUAUUUUUUGAUAUAGGUCUUUCAGCAGUAGUCAGAUCAAUGAUGGUCUCUUUUUCUAGGCAAUCAAUUAAAGGGCAUGGUAUGACGAAUUGCUCAAGGAAGUCAUGUGAGAUAGAUGUACCUUUUUCUUUGAUAGAAUGAAAGGGAAAUAAUUCUUCAAAGAAUAGGACAUCCCUAGAAACAAAUAACUUUCUCCUAGCUAAGUCAUAUAGUUUGUAUCCCUUCAUGCAAGGUUGAUAUCCCAAAAAAACACAAGGUUGUGCUCUAGGAUCGAACUUGGAUCUGGUUGCUGAGAGAGUAGAGGCAUAGGCAAGACAUCCAAAGGUUCUGAUAAUGCUGUAAUCAGCUUCUUUCUCAAACAGAGUGGCAAAUGGAGUGCUAUUAGAGAGUAGGACCAUGGGUGUCCAGUAUAUUAGAUAGACAACACUCAAAAUACAUUCUCCCCAAAAAGUAAGAGGGGAUUUUGAUUGGAACAUCAAUGCUCUUGCCACGUUGGGGAGAUGUCGAUGCUUUCUCUCCACCACUGAGUUCUGCUUAGGGGUGUAGACACAUGAAAACUGGUGAGCAGUUCUAGUUUUAGCAAAAAAUUCCCUGAAAUUCAAUUCUGGAGCAUUUCAGAACAAAAAGCAUUAAUGACUUUUGAGAAAUGAGAUUCAAUCUAUAAGAACCCUAGAUAGAAAAAUAGUGGAUUAUUAGGAGAAAAUUAAAAUGGUUGUUAGUAAGGUCAUAUUAGUAAAUAGAUGGUAAGUUGGUUAGGUCUUUUUGUUAUAAAUAGUGGGAGAGGGGUUGGGGAGAGGUGUGAAGAAUUUUGAAGAAAGAUUUCCUUGUAAGGGAACCUUGGGAGAGUCUAGCCCUCUCAAAAGGCUAGGGUUACUUGUUACUUGUUAUUAUGAUCUUCUAAUAUAUAUUUCAUAUUUGGAUGUUUUUUAAGUGUUCUUGAGUUCAUCUUUUCUUCUUGAGGUAAUCCUUGUUAGGUGGGAUUUUAAGACAAUCAUCUUGAAAAACCGAUGAAUGACUUGUAGAAUAUCAUUCUUAUUUUCCAAAAGGUAUACACAUGUGUAUCUAGACUUAUCAUCAACAACGGUGGCAAAAUAAGAGUGACCAGAAUGUGUUAAGGUUUUAAAAGGACCCCAUAUAUCACAAUGCACAAGAUCAAAUGCAUUAUCAGCAAUAUUAUUGAAUGUAGGAAAUGAAAGACAUCUUUGUUUAGCCCGGGGACAAAUGUGACAAAUAUUUUUUACAGUUUGGGGAAUAAAAAAUUUCUCUCUUCUUUGUUAAUUCCUUUAUCCCAUUCGUUUGUGCCAUGUAGAAAUGGAAGCUUUACACAUCAGUGUAGUAUGUUGAAUGCAGUUAUCUUUGUAUUUCCUCACUCUGAGCAAGUAGAGGCCAUUAGUUACCUCAACCUUCCCAAUCGUUUUCGAAAGCAACUUGUCCUAAAUAAGACAAUUAGAAUUAGAAAAUGACACAGCAAAUCUUUCAUCUUUGAGAAGAGCACUCACUGACAGUAGGUUGUAUUUGAAGUCAGGAAUAUAAAGUACAUCCCUUAGGAUCACUUCUUUUGCUAUGGAAAUAUCUCCUAUAUACUCAACCUUUAGGUGAGUUUUGGUAGGUAAGAUUACUGACAUAUUCUGGAUACUGUGGAGAUUUUUAAAAGCAGACUUGUCAUAGCAAAUAUGUGAGGAAGCACCACAAUCGAUGAUCCAGAUUGAUGAAUUAGUGAGAGAAGUAGAUAGACAAGUACCUGCUAUGUGAGUGGUCUCUAUUUUGGGAUUCUCACCAUUUUGAGAUGUGUUAAGAUAAGAUGAGUUUGAAGCAUACUCAUAAGCUAUGAAUAUUGGUCAUUGUUGAGACUUGGCAAAGAAGGCAGAUUAAUUAGAAGCUUCUGUCAUUUUCUCAUUUCCAGCUUGAAUUGUAUUGCUUUGUCUCUGUUGGUGAACAGAGUUGUUGCUUGCAAGUCUAUGGUCGGGAGGAUAACCAUGCAACUUGUCACACUUGUCAACAACAUGUCCUCUAUAGCCACAAUUAGAGCAUAUAGGUCGCGUGUCCUUUUUCUUGGACUUCUCAUAAGGAAAUCUUCUCUCAAAAUUAGCCAAUAGUGUUAUACUCUCAAGGGAAGGUGAAGAUCCAAUGGAUCUUUGUCUAUCUUCUUGGAUAAUGAGGGAGAAAACUUUGUUUAUAGGUGGCAGGGGAUCAAUCAAGAGGAUUUGAGCUCUAAUAUGGGAAUAGGAUUCAUUUAGUGUCAUGAGAAAGGUCAUUACAAAUUCUGAGAUCAAAAAAUCAAUCAUCUUCUUUGAUCCUUCACAAGUGCAUUCAUCCACAAGACGGUAUUCAACUAGUUCUUGCCAUAUAGUGGUGAUUUUUGCAUAGUAAACUUUAACUGAGAGAUUCCCCUGUGUAGUAGUUACCAAGUCUUUUCGCAACUGGUAUAUGUGAGGUCCAUUGGACUGCCUAUAUCUUUCCUUCAAUUCAUCCCACACUUCCUUUCCGUUUCCAUUGUAAACACAAGCAUCAUUGCUCUACUCCAUGAUGAGUAAUUAUUUGAUCCUACCAGUGGUGUAGAAACAAGGUUGGUGGUUGGAAUGAUUGAAUGGUGUAGCAUGAACGGGUUUAAUUGGAUAUCAAGAUCAUAUGAGGUAAUUGGUGCUGAAGUAUUGGAGCUGCUGGAGCUGCUGGAUGUCGAAUUCUCAGGUGUCGCCAUUGCUGCAGACUGCACGAGGGUAUAGGGACGUUCAGGUUUUUUCUUCUAAGACUGUCUUUGCGGAAAUUUCUCUAAUACCAUAUUGGGGAGAAGAGAGCUUCGAAAGGAAGAAUUUUUGUACAAAGGUAAGUCUCUUUAUUUCUUGUAUGAAUAUUUACAUAGCCCAAGCUUGAUAUAUAUAGGAGCUUGGUGAUAACUGUCUCCUAACAAACUAAAUAAUAAACUGUGUAACAGAAAAAUAACUAUCUAACAGCCUUAUUGUUAAUAAUUCUCCCCAAAAGCAGCAGGCCGAGAGAAUAUUUGAACUUUCUUUGAGGUUCUAACCUCCCGGAGCUUAGAAGAGAAUAAAGAAUGUUGUAGACUGUUGGGUGAAGACACAAGGCUACAAAAAAGAUUGUACCUUAAUUGAUGAACUUCAUAUAAAUACCCAUGACCUAUCUUUCAGAUCAUUGUUCUUAAUUUAUUUUCACACUACAACGUUGACUUCUUGUUCCAAAAACCAAUGUUAAAAUUGACAUAUCACAACCCCCCUUGGGGAGCUUUGUCCAAAUCCUUCACAGACUUCUCGAUUAAGGAUAUAGGCCUAAAUUGGAGGGCAUUCACACAUCUACCCUAUUGGUCAUCUUUCUUUUCAGGGGUUCACUUUGUAUUUGUUUGGAUUAAUUUUGAAUCAUGCUUCAUCUCUUUGUUGUUUUGUGAUGCAUUCCUCGUUUGUUCUGUGAGAUUGUUGCUAUAAUUCCAUUUGGAAUGUUAUGUCAGCUUAUAUUGGAUAUGAUAUAGAUGCUAAGUGAGUGUCAAUCUAAUUAAGAUUCCUAAGUUCACCUCUUAAUUCUUAGGUUUCGCAUUGUAUAUAUAUUGUAACUUAAGCAUUCAUUUCCUUUUGCAUUGUAUAUAUAUUGUACCUUAAGCAUUAGUUUCCUUUCAUUACAUCAAUGAAGAGGAGAUUCCUAAGUGCACCUCCUGAUUCUUAGGUUUCCUUUUGCAUUGUAUAUAUAUUGUACCUUAACAUUAGUUUCCUUUCAUUACACCAAUGAAGAGAUUCAUUUCCUUUUCCAAAAAAACAAAAGUGAUUUGUCAAAAAACCUCAUGUGACACGGUCAAAAUCAUCAUGUAAAGCAAACAAAAAAGGGGUUUUGGUAUGCUGCUAGCCUACUGCAUAUAUGUAUAGCUUGUAUACAAAUAUUUCAUGACCAGAAAACAAACCCAAAGAUUCAGAAAGUUGAAUUUGCAACUGAUUCAUCUUAAGUAGUGAUAGCCUUUGCUUAAAG